CUCUAUAACUGUCUCACCACAACUAUAUUUUCCGUCGUGAUCUUCAACACUCAUUCAUGGGUUCUUCUUUUCUGAAACUUUUUUAUCAGUUAAAAUUUAUUGUUACAGGCUACUCGAGUAAAAAAAGCAAAUGUGGAUUCUGUUUCUUCUUAAUCAGAUCAAUUAAUCUGAUGGGAUAAUUCUGACGAGAAUACCCGCGGGAUAUAAAGAGGAUAUGAAGUCGAAUGUGAAAUCUAGAGGACAAGUCACAAACUCAAGGAAUCGUGGUUGAUGGAAAACUCUUGACGAAUUCCGUUAAAUUCACUACUGAAUCUACUUAAGUUCACACUAUCAACGAAGAUUGAGGAGUACUAAGGAUACAUAGAACAAGAAGAAAACGAAGAUGAAGAAUCUGGAUUGAAGAAAGUCUUAUGGGAAAUUAUGUUUAAAUGUUUUACAAUCUUUGUUUCUCUAAAUUUAUCUUUUUCCUCUUCCUGCUUUUCUAGGCUUAUCUUUUUAAUUCUUAUCUUUUACGUUAGAUUGUAAUUUAAUGAAAAUAAAAUAUGUUAGUCUUUGUGACUUUA